AAUCUUCCUCAAUGGACGAAAGUCUGACGGAGCAAUGCCGCGUGAGUGAUGAAGGCCUUAGGUUCGUAAAUCUCUGCUUUUAGGGAAGAAUAGGUAUCGGAGUAAUAUGCCGGUACUUCGACGGUACCUUACCAGAUAGCUCCGGCUAACCACGUUCCAGCAGCCGCGGUAAUACGCAGGGGGCGAGCGUUGUCCGGAAAUAUUGGGCGUAAAGGGCGCGCAGGCGGUUUCUUAAGUCUGAUGGGAAAUCUCGUGGCUUAAACACGAGCGGUCGUUGGAAACUGGGAAACUUGAGUACAGAAGAGGAGAGUGGAAUUCCACGUGUAGCGGUGAAAUGCGUAGAGAUGUGGAGGAACACCAGUGGCGAAGGCGGCUCUCUGGUCUGUAACUGACGCUGAGGUGCGAAAGCGUGGGGAGCAAACA
rnacentral:rRNA from 1 species